GCAGGUGUAGUCAAUCACUGCGGGGCUGACACCGAAGGCGGGAAACACAAGGCGCAGGUUCUACAAGACAGAGAGUACGAGGGUGAGGAACUAGAAUUAAUCCAGGCUGCAGGAUCUAUAUGGAGAAGGCACCAGAAACAGCUCGAUCUCUCCUUCAAACACCAACAGAUCAAAUAUGUGCUGGAAAAAAAAGCAACAAGAUGCACUCAUUUCAUCGUGAUGGAUGUGUGUGUCAUUAGGCCUCGUUAUCGGAGCGGCUGUGACUCAGUUGGUAGAGUCAGACGUCUCUCAACAGGAAGGAAGGGGGUUCAAUCCCCAGCUCCCGCAGCUCCAUGUCUGAUGUGUCCUUAGGCAAGACACUCAACCCCCAGCUGUUUUGUCAGCAGCAUAUGAAUGCGUAUGAUUGGGAUUAGUUACUUCUGAUGGUCACUCUACAUACAGCAACCUCUACCAUCAGUGUGUGAAUGUGUAGGUGUGACAUGCGGUGUCUAAGUGUUUUUAGUAGUCAGACGCGUAGAGAAGAGCUAUACAGGCUCAAGUCCAUUUCCUUUUAAACUAGUUCUGGGGCUUUGAAUCAGUUUCCUUUCAUUGCCCUCAAAUGUGGGGACUAAUUCUGUUCAUAUACUGACACCUAGUGGUCAUUUUAAGAAAGGCACACAGUGCGUAUAAUAGAUCCUUAUACUUUCAAAUAGGCUAGUUUUAUGGUGCACACACUGUGAUAAACGACUGUCCUCUGUAUGUUCACUAUUGAUUCAUGAACAGGCUGCUUUCACUGUAUAGAAUCAAUACUUCAUUUACUACAGCUACACAGUUACAAUGCAUCUCCUGUGUUUGUUCGAUCUGUUGAAAAACAGCUUUAAAUUUCAAUCUUCUCAAAUAAGUCGAAUCAGCUUUGAAUAAAAGUUUAAUUCACAAAAAUACAUUGACCAAUAUAAUGAAAAUGUACUAAAAUGUACUUUAAUAAUCCAUAAAAGCUGGAACAUCAUUGACAGAAAAACACAAGAAGCAUUAUUAGAGUUGGUUUAGUAUAAUAUAUUUCAGCUUCAAGAGACAUAGAAAUCAAUCCUUAUUUUUUCCCCAUAUUUCUUCUAUAAAAGACCCAU